GAUGACACUUUUUCCCCGCAUGAGGAAGAGGUUAAAGAAUUUCGGUGAAAGAUGGUCUUGCGUCUGAUUAGCUAGUUGGUGGGGUAACGGCCUACCAAGGCGACGAUCAGUAGCCGGCCUGAGAGGGUGUACGGCCACAUUGGGACUGAGACACGGCCCAAACUCCUACGGGAGGCAGCAGUGGGGAAUUUUGCACAAUGGAGGAAACUCUGAUGCAGCGACGCCGCGUGAACGAAGAAGGUCUUCGGAUUGUAAAGUUCUGUCCUGGGUGAAGAUAAUGACGGUAACUCAGGAGGAAGCCCCGGCUAACUACGUGCCAGCAGCCGCGGUAAUACGUAGGGGGCGAGCGUUGUUCGGAAUUAUUGGGCGUAAAGGGUACGUAGGCGGUUUGUUAAGUUUGGCGUUAAAUCACGGGGCUCAACCCCGUUCAGCGUUGAAACUGG
rnacentral:rRNA from 1 species